rnacentral:rRNA from 1 species
GAUGAACGCUGGCGGCGUGCCUAAUACAUGCAAGUCGAGCGAAUGGAUUAAGAGCUUGCUCUUAUGAAGUUAGCGGCGGACGGGUGAGUAACACGUGGGUAACCUGCCCAUAAGACUGGGAUAACUCCGGGAAACCGGGGCUAAUACCGGAUAACAUUUUGAACCGCAUGGUUCGAAAUUGAAAGGCGGCUUGGGCUGUCACUUAUGGAUGGACCCGCGUCGCAUUGGCUAGUUGGUGAGGUAACGGCUCACCAAGGCAACGAUGCGUAGCCGACCUGAGAUGGUGAUCGGCCACACUGGGACUGAGACACGGCCCAGACUCCUACGGGAGGCAGCAGUAGGGAAUCUUCCGCAAUGGACGAAAGUCUGACGGAGCAACGCCGCGUGAGUGAUGAAGGCUUUCGGGUCGUAAAACUCUGUUGUUAGGGAAGAACAAGUGCUAGUUGAAUAAGCUGACACCUUGACGGUACCUAACCAGAAAGCCACGGCUAACUACGUGCCAGCCGCCGCGGUAA